rnacentral:rRNA from 1 species
GACGAACGCUGGCGGCGUGCUUAACACAUGCAAGUCGAACGGAAAGGCCCUGCUUUUGUGGGGUGCUCGAGUGGCGAACGGGUGAGUAACACGUGAGUAACCUGCCCUUGACUUUGGGAUAACUUCAGGAAACUGGGGCUAAUACCGGAUAGGAGCUCCUGCUGCAUGGUGGGGGUUGGAAAGUUUCGGCGGUUGGGGAUGGACUCGCGGCUUAUCAGCUUGUUGGUGGGGUAGUGGCAUACCAAGGCUUUGACGGGUAGCCGGCCUGGGAGGGUGACCGGCCACAUUGCUCCUGAGCUACGGCCCAGCCCCCUACGGUAGGCAGCGGUGGGGAAUAUUGCACAAUGGGCGGAAGCCUGAUGCAGCAACGCCGCGGGCGGGAAGACGUGCUUCGGGUAGUGAACCGCAUUCGCCUGAGACGAAGCGUUAGUGACGGUAACGGGUGAAGAAGCACCGGCUAACUACGUG